AACUGCGACCCCAGGUCA
rnacentral:rRNA from 6 species